rnacentral:lncRNA from 1 species
AGUUCCUCUUCGCUCCGACUGCGUUCGUCGCCUCUUCCCUUUGUUCCUCUCUCCCCCCGCCUUGAGCCUCUCUACGCCAUCCCCUCUCCGUGGAAAAUCCUCCCCAGCUGUCUCCUCGACCGAUGCCCCACCUUCUUCCCUCCGCUUUGCUGCUGCCUCGCCUGGCUUCUCUGUUUUUGCCUCGUCUUCCACUUCCGGUUUCCCUUCUCUCGCGGUUCGCUUCCUACCGUAGAAGUCGUCGCGAGUCGUGGAGGUCCGCGGCAGGAGCUUUUGCAGUCCAUACUCCGCGAGCCUGGCGGGCGCUGCUGCGGCGAGGAAAGUUUCUUCGACGCCGUGGGUCAGGCCGCUCGAAGUAACCUCGAUCAAUUCCACGCCGCGCCUCCAGUCUCGCCGCGCCUCGGCGCCGCUACCCUCGCUGCGCCGCCGUUCUUCCGCGUGGCCUUCCCGCAGCAGGUCCAGGUACUCCUCGACAGGGUGCGGAGCGGAGAAGAGCGAGAAGGUCGCCGCAACUGACGGCGCAAAAAGGUGCAUGAAGACGUAGGACGACAGGAAGGAAAGCGACGGAAAGAGACGCUCAAAAAGACCCGGCCUUGUCCACGGCGUCACCGACAGCAGGCUAUCUCUUGGCCCUUGCGCGACGGACCCUUGCGAGAACAAGGCAGAAGGAUCAGACGCGUGCUCUGGAACCCCCAACUCGCCCUGCCGGGCGUUCCUCGGGACAGACGCCUGAUUUCCACCUCGGUCUUCAGCCUCCGCGGCGCGGCGACGCUCGCCGUGGUGUCUUGCCUCGCGUUCGCGCUCUCUGUCGAGGCGCCCGAGCAACAGACCCAUGCGCUGCCACGGAGACGGAGCGAGGCACUGCGCGGCGGAGACAGGAGACGAGGUCGGCGCCUGUGUCUCCUCACCAGCCGGCGCAGGUCGCGGCUCGGAGCCCGCGGGCGAAACGGAGA